rnacentral:rRNA from 1 species
CCUACGGGAGGCAGCAGUGAGGAAUAUUGGUCAAUGAACGAGAGUCUGAACCAGCCAAGUAGCGUGAAGGAUGACUGCCCUAUGGGUUGUAAACUUCUUUUAUAUGGGAAUAAAAUGUUCCACGUGUGGGAUUUUGUAUGUACCAUAUGAAUAAGGAUCGGCUAACUCCGUGCCAGCAGCCGCGGUAAUACGGAGGAUCCGAGCGUUAUCCGGAUUGAUUGGGUUUAAAGGGAGCGUAGGUGGAUUGUUAAGUCAGUUGUGAAAGUUUGCGGCUCAACCGUAAAAUUGCAGUUGAAACUGGCAGUCUUGAGUACAGUAGAGGUGGGCGGAAUUCGUGGUGUAGCGGUGAAAUGCUUAGAUAUCACGAAGAACUCCGAUUGCGAAGGCAGCUCACUGGACUGCAACUGACACUGAGGCUCGAAAGUGUGGGUAUCAAACAGGAUUAGAUACCCUGGUAGUC